GGUCGGCACCCUUGUCGCGUGAAGUUGCGCGAGAUAAAAGCGCUUCUUGUCAACUUUACUUAAUACAUGUUUCACACAACGCCAAUGCGACGGACAUGGCACGGACGCGGAGCGGAUCAGCUCCAGGGACGAUGUCAUCACAAUUCGUUUAAUAGAAAGCGGCGGACGCGAGAUCAGCGGAAUGACGGAACAGAACCGAAGCGAGUGGCGUCGCGACUUGUUUAACAGUCCAUUCCAGUUUCAUUUACCGAACGUGGCGGACCGAGCGGAUCGAGCGGACCGAGCGGACCGAGCGGACCAGGCGGACCGGCGGACACGGCAGAUCAGGGGACGCAUGCAGCACGAAUCGGAACAGAAGCGAGCGGCGUGGCGGCGUCGCGACUCGUUUAAUAGAACGCGGCGUACGCAGAAAGGAUCAAUUCCGGAACGAAUGGCGUUACGAUUUAUUUAAUUAAGCAAACAAUUUAUCUAAAAAUAAAUCGUAUAGUAUCGUAUGUACUACAAUUCUAUUAUUGCAUAUCGUGAGAAUAUAAUCUAAAGAGAAGAUUUGGCAAAUAAAUCAGACUAAAAGAAGGUAUCGGGCCUUAGUGGAGCAAUUUUGCGAUUUAUCGUAGCGACUUGUCUGAUAACUUCACUCUUGCGCAUCGAUCGCAAACUUAUUCUUUCCAUAUUUAAAGCCGACUCGUCGACGAUUUAAAUGAAAAUAAACGAACCGCAGCCGGUUCGUCGCGUCGCGCGUUUGUUUCGGGAGUGCCAUUGAAAGUAAUGGACUUAAUUAGUCUACGGGCGUAAUUUUAGUGUAUUUAACGCGAGUGUUCCGCGAGUGCAACGGGACGAGGAGGUUUAACAACCCGGAUCUAAGAGGAGGAGGAAGUCUGAGAGAGGCAUCGGGCCUCAGCGGAGCAACCUUGGUUAUCACCGCAGCUUCGUAGUUGAAUAAAUCCGCUCAUUACGCAUCAAAUCUCACAGCACACGCGCGAUCGAGAGCCUACUUUUGACUGGGUGCUGGACUCCACGUCGACGGUAUCGUCAGGCACUCGUCGCCGCCGUGGAAGAACCUCAACACGUCGCCACCGAAGACGUAACCGACGU